CUGUUGGUAAGAGUUUUAUUUAGAAUGUCUUUAUUAGCACAGCUAAAAGAUAUAAAGACUAAUGUCGGCUUAUCCAAUUAUAAGCUCUGAUUUAUAGCUGAUCACUUCCCUUCUUUGGCUCUGGCCUCUCUGGAAAAUAUUUCACGAGUGAACUGUCUUAGAUCCCUUCCCGUUUUGAGUGUUGCACUUGAUUUCGCAUAGUAGCUCAGACUUGUGGAGGCCAGGCUGUUACAGUUAGUGGAUAAGAGACACGUAAAUGUGCACAGCCGAUAAAUAUGCAAAUGACAGAGCUCGGUGAGUUUUACAAAAGAGCAGACCCCAGCGCUACUAGCCUGGCGCAGAAAUGAAGACGCAGAGAGCAUCGCGGCAUCCAGAAGCCCCGCGAUGGCCCUGCUGAGAACCAGGCACACGACUUCUCCAGUGUUAGAAGGCGAGGCAGCAGGGACAAACCCUCAGGAUGUCUCCAUGAAUCUUUGGAGUUACCAGAGCAAUGUGAAAUUUAGCAGUUACUCCAGCUGUUCCUAUCUACAGAUGCAGAAACAAGGCACAGAGAGGCCAAGUGGUGUGCCCAGCAUUUCAAGGCACACUGAAGAAGAGACGAGGGUUACUGCCAGUCCUCCUGGUGUCCAGCUCAGUGC
rnacentral:lncRNA from 1 species